rnacentral:rRNA from 1 species
GUGGGGAAUAUUGGACAAUGGGCGAAAGCCUGAUCCAGCCAUGCCGCGUGUGUGAAGAAGGUCUUCGGAUUGUAAAGCACUUUAAGUUGGGAGGAAGGGCAGUAAGUUAAUACCUUGCUGUUUUGACGUUACCGACAGAAUAAGCACCGGCUAACUUCGUGCCAGCAGCCGCGGUAAUACGAAGGGUGCAAGCGUUAAUCGGAAUUACUGGGCGUAAAGCGCGCGUAGGUGGUUUUGUAAGUUGGAGGUGAAAUCCCCGGGCUCAACCUGGGAACUGCCUCCAAAACUGCAUGACUAGAGUACGGUAGAGGGUAGUGGAAUUUCCUGUGUAGCGGUGAAAUGCGUAGAUAUAGGAAGGAACACCAGUGGCGAAGGCGACCACCUGGACUGAUACUGACACUGAGGUGCGAAAGCGUGGGGAGCAAACAGGAUUAGAUACCCUUGUAGUCC